rnacentral:tRNA from 1 species
UGCUCGGUGGCGUAGUGGGUAGCGCGCUUGCGUUCUGCCCAUGAAGUCCUGGGUUCGAUUCCUAGUUGGGUCG